AAGGCUUUAGCUUAAUUAAAGUACCUGUUUUGCAUACAGGAGAUGUGGGUUAAAGCCCCGCAAGUCUUA
rnacentral:tRNA from 1 species